rnacentral:rRNA from 1 species
UUCAACAACGGAUCUCUUGGUUCUGGCAUCGAUGAAGAACGCAGCGAAAUGCGAUAAGUAGUGUGAAUUGCAGAAUUCAGUGAAUCAUCGAAUCUUUGAACGCACAUUGCGCCCUUUGGUAUUCCAAAGGGCAUGCCUGUUCGAGCGUCAUUUGUACCCU